rnacentral:lncRNA from 1 species
AAGGCUAGGGAUAGAACCCACACAUGGGUUCUUAACCCACUGAAACAUAAGGGGAACUCAUCUAGAGGUGUCUCCUUGACCUCAAGAAUGAGAAAUAAGUGGUCUCUAUCUUCUAUCCAAGCAGGACGCAGCCCCUCCUUGCUCCUGGCAGAAGCUGUAUCUUCAAGUUCUUUGUCCACAGGGAACAGAUGACAGCUGCUCAGCCUGAGACCCACCUACCUCCUGUCUCACGUCCUCAGACACUGCAGACACUCAAAUCCUGUUCUGCUGGUGGAAAAGCUGGAGGAGCCAUGAUGAAGGCCACCUCUAAUGAAUUCCCCACAUUCCCACGUGCCUCAGAGUCACCCUUCCCUCCCAGCAGCAUGGCCUUUGCCUGUCGGUGUCUCAUAAGGUAAAAUGGGGUGAAUAUGCCGUGAAUGAAUGGAGCAAGCCUUGCCAUCAAGGGCAUUGCCCGUGAUUUUGAGGACGGAGUUAACAUAGAGCUCAUGGUUAUUGAGAAGGAAGUGUGGAAGUAUGAAGAACAUUUACCCAAUAUUAAAAUUUAUUUUUCAGUGUGACCUAUUUUGGGGGGAGAGACAGUGACGUUUCUACUUUUGUUCAGGGAAAACAUGAGUCAGGAAUCUUUGUGUCAAUUUAAUGUUUUUAACCUACCCUUGUCUCCUAAACAGAGGUGGUAACAGACAAACCAUCUCCUUCUAACCAGGCUGUUUACAGUGUUUAACCCAGGGUGCUUGUUAAAAUCAAAGGGAAGGGGUAAGAUAACCAAUGUAAGGAAAAACUAAUGAAGCUGUAUUUUCUGAUUCUUGUAAUUGUAGUGGUGUGGUUGGUUCUGCUACAGUGAAGCUCUUAUUUCCAGUAAGAAACCUCUUUUCUCGUUUACUCUCUCAUACAUUUUAACUGUCAUGCAGAUGGAAAUUGUAUGGCAGCUGCCAGCAGGAAUGACCUUAGUUUUUGUUUACAAACACAAAGCUUUCUAUUGAGAAUGCUGACGAUAUUACUCAGCUGCUUUGUUGAAACAGCCCAUCAUGGUCAGACCUGAGUUUCCCUUCACAAAGUGAAAUUUGACAGUGAUUGUGGCAUUAAAUUAAGAUUAAAAUACAACAAAUCUAAGUAUCUGAUUCAAUUCAAAUGCAGUCCAGAAGCUUGAACUAGAAUCGUAGUUACGCUCUGUCCUGUCUGUGGAUGUAGGCUCUCUGGGCUUCAUUGUUUGCCCCCAUAUGGGAUGGAGUAAUAAUAGGGCCUGCUUUAUAGGGCUGUUGAAAGGAUUAAAUGGGUUCAAGUCCUAUAAAAACAGUUGGAAUGGAGCAGUGCCUGGCAUAUAGUAAACACUCAGCAGUCUACACAAGAGACUGUGGUGUUAAUUCUUUAAACAUUUGGUAGAAUUCUCCAGAGAAACUAUUCAAGCCUGAAGUUUUUGUUUUAGGGUGAUUUUUAACUACAAAUAUGGUCUAUGUGAUAGUUUUAGGGCUAUUCAAAUGUUCUGUUUCAUACUGGGUGUGUUGGGGUAGUUUUGUGUUUUUCGACGAAUCACUGAAUAUUACAUAGGUUGUUAAAUUGGUGUGUGCUGAAUUGUUUGCAGUAUUUUUAUAUUAUCUUUUGAAUAUCCGCCUGGUUUUUAAUGAUAUGCUCUGUUUGUCAAUCUUAGUGAUCUUUUCCAAGAACUAGUUCUUGGUUUUCCUGAUGGUUCUCUUUUGCUUUUCUGUUAUAUUUUAUGGACUUUUGCUCUUCAUAAUUCCUGUCUCCUGCUCGCUGUGUUCUUUUUCUCUUUUAUCCUACUGCUUGUUCCCUUCUUUUCUAUGUCUUGAGACAGGAGCUUAGAUGAUUUUUCUUGAAACUUUUCAGCUUGUUAAUGUAUUCAUGUAGUGCUAUAAAUUUCCCUUCUAGCCCUGCUUUAACUGUUGGACAAAUUUUGAUAAUGGUGUAUUUUCAUUUUCAUUUAGUUCAUUGUAUUUGAAAGAAGCCUCUUGAGCCUUUCUUUUUGACUCAUGGAUUGUUGAGACGUGUGUUGUUUAGUCUUCCAAUUAGAGAUUUUCUAGAUGUUUUUAUGCUCUUGAUUUUUUAAUCUGAUUGCACUGUGGUUGGAGAACACGCCCUCUAUGAUUUAAAUUCUUUACAUCUACUGAGGUUUGUUUUCUGGCCCAGGAUGUAUAAACUAUCUUGGUGUAGGUUUCAUGGACCCUUGAAAAGAAUAUUUAUUUAUUUUUUUUUGUCUUUCUAAAGUUUGCUUACAACGUGUUUUGUUGUGGAUAUCUCGGAGUAUAUACUGCUUGGUAAUUGCUCAGCUUUUUGAAUCUGAGGCUUUAUAUCUUUUGCCAAAUUUCAGAAGUUUUCAGUCUUUAAAGUACUCUUUCAGCCUCAACUUAUUUAUCCUCUCCUUCUGGAACUAUGAUGACAGGAAUGUUAGAUUUUUUUGUUAAACUCACAUAGGUCCCUGAAGCUCUGUUUGUUUUUGUUCAGUCUAUUUUGUCUGUUCAGAUUGAGCAAUUCUAUUGUUGGAUAUUUCAGUUUGAGCCUAUCCUUUGGAUUAUUUACUUAUUAUGUUUUAUAAUUCUAAAAUUUCCAUUUAGUGCUUUGUGUCUUCCUUUGCUUGGACUCUCUAUUUUGUGAUUUGUUUCAAACACGUUUGCAAGUACUCACUGAAGCACUUUUAUGAUAACUACUUAAAAAUAUUUGCCAAAUAAUUCUAACGUCUCUUUUAUCUUGGUGUGGAAUAUUUUGAUGCUCUUGUUUUCAGGUUGAGAUCCCCCUGGAUCUUGACAUGAUGAAUGAUGUUUAAAAAAGUGAAACCUUGGCAUUUCAGGUAUUAUGAGAUUCUGAAACUUCUUUAGAUACUCUGUUUUUUUUUUUUUUUUUUCCUGGCUUACUGGAAUAGCACUCUAGCAGGGGAAUUGUGAGUGCUGCCUCAUUAGUGACACAUAUUUCUCCAUUGACAUCUGAGAGAAAGAAGAGCCUUGCUACAGCUUGAUGGGAGUGAUGGUUCUGGCUCCCUCCUGGACAGCAGUGAUACCUCCUGGGCUGGGAGGGAUUAGAACGCCUCAUUACCACUUGGCACAUAGGCUCUACUCAUACUGUGGGAUUGGUGAAUGUCCUAACUCUCCUAGGUCCCCUCUGACAUCACCUGUACAGGAAGGGAAAAGAAAUACCCUGUUGCUGCCAACUGUAGUGGAAGUCCAGGUUCUUGAUGAAGAAUCACUGGAAGGUGAUUUAAUACCACUUGGCGGGGAUGAACGUGCUGUUCCUACUCCUUCCUUGAUACCAUCCUGGCAAGUGGCUUGUGAAUUCCUGUUAAAGCCCAGGGAGGGAAGUCUAGGCUCCUCAUGUGGCCUUAAUUGGCAGGAGUUGGGAUUGCAGCCAUAGUUUCUUCCAUGGUAUUUCGUUAGAGUACAAUAAUCUAAAUAUUUUCAAUCUUGGUUAGGCUGUGCCUUUUUGUCUGUGCCUCUUAGCAUCUCCAGGUUGCUGGGUUGCUGGCUUCCCCAGCAAUCGAUCUGAAAUAUGUGAGUCACAAAGAAAACCCAGCAAACUUAUUGUACUGUUACUGUUUGGGUCUCAAGUUGCUAGUUGAUUUGCCUUUUCUUACUUCACUUUGCAUUAUAUAUAUAUAUAUAUUUUUUUUUUCUUUUCACAGCCACACCUACAGCAUAUGGAAGUUCCCAGGCUAGGGUUGAACCAGAGUUGCAGCUGCCUGCCUACACCAUAGCCACAGCAAUGCUAGAUGCGAGCCACAUCUGCACCCUCCACUGCAGCUCACGGCAAUGCUGAAUCCUUAACCCACUGAGCAAGGCCAGGGGUUGAACCCAUAUCCUCAAGGAGACUAUGUAGGGUCCUAAAUCUGCUGAGCUACAAUGGGAACUCUCUUUCUCUAUAUAUAUGUACACACACCACACACACACACACACACACACACACACACACACACACACACACACACACAAUGUCCAGAGGUUUCAGUUUACUGCUGCUGACUUUGGGCUCCUACCAAGUCCUACCUAUUUUUCAAGUCUUAGAUGACGUGUCAUUUCUGGUAAGCUCCCUCUGAGUCUACCCACCAGGCUGGGUUUCCUUAUUCUCUGCCAUCACAGUCUGCAUUUCUCCAUAUAGUAACUUUGUUCAGUGUCUUUCUCCUCCAUUUGAUGGCUCUUUGAGGGCAGGGGUUGGGUCCCAUCUUGAAUAAAUGAGUGACAUUUUCAUUUGUAAAAUGAGGAAGUUGGAAUAGAUGAACCUGGAGAAGCUCUAUCUCUCCCUUGUUUUCCUUCCCUUACUUUUUAUCUGCCUCCCCCCCCAAUAAUUUACAAAUAUAAUCAUAUCUGAAGUCUUGUCCCUCUGUGCCUUCUCCAACAUUGGUUUGAUCAUGAAAAACAAAACCAAAAUUUGGUUUAUAUGUUAGAUCAAUAAUGACAUCUUUAUUAUGGUUUUAUUUUUGCACUUACUUGAAUACCAGGAAAGUUUAUUCAUCCUGUCAGUAAAUGUCAAAUAUCUACUAUGUUCUUCUUUAAAACACUUUUAAAGUAUAGUUGAUUUACAACGUUGUGCCAAUUUCUCCUGUAUAGCAAAGCGACUCAGUCAUAAGUAUAUACACGUUCCUUUUCUUAAAUUACAUGCCAUCAUGGUCUGUCCCAAGAGACUAGAUAUAUUCCCUGUGCUAUAUAGUAGGACCUCAUUGCUUAUCUCUUCUAAAGGUAAUAAUUUUCAUUUACUAACCCUAAACUCCCUGUCCAUCCCACUACCGCCCACUCUCCUCCUUGGCAACCACAAAUCCGUUCUCUAUGUCUGUGAGUCUGUUUCUCUUUUGUAGAUGAAUUCGUUAGUGCCACAUUUAAAAUUUUACGCAUACAUGAUGUCAUAGGGUAUUGGUCUUUCUCUUUAUGACUUAUUUAGUAUGAUUUCUAGUAGCAUCGAUGUUGGUGCAGAUGGCAUUAUUUCAUUGAAUAUCUAUUAUGUUCUAAAUUCUGUGGAAGAAGGUUCUAGAGAUAAGAGCAGUUCACAAAACAAGGGCCUUCUUCCAAUGGAGCUUAACAGUUGAAGUUUUUUGAUACUGUUAUUGAUCAUUUACAUAUCUUUUGUGAAUUAUAUCUGCACAUUGUUUGCCUAUCGACCUGCCACUUUUCUCCAUUUUCAAUGUUCAUUGCACAGAUAUUUUGCUCAGGAGUAUGAGAGAUGCAAAGAUAAGACAGUCCAUUUCACAGUUCACUUAGCAUCUGUUAUGCUUCACCAGUUCAUACAUCCAAACAAAAAUACUUUUCUCAGAAAACAGGUCUGGACAGCCCACUUACACUAUAUUGUGCACUUAAACUUUUUUUGGAAUAUAAAGGCUAAAGUGGUUAUGAUGUUUGGCAUUUUUUUUUUAAUAACAAAUGUGCCACCUCACUGUAUAGCAACAGUUAAAUACCAUACAUUGCAGGAGGGAAUUGAGCGGCAGGAUGUGAUGAAACAAUUGUAACAAGGACCAGUUGUAGUGUUAGGGUCCAAUUGCAAAGAAACCUGCCUGGACUUUAAUUUGUAUCUUGUUUUAUGUAAAAAUGAUACUCAAUUUUCAUUUCACAGAUAUCAGAGGUAGUGGUGGGAGGUCCUGGGUGACAAACCUCUAAUAUCAGCAAGGUUUCAGACAAAAACAGGCACUCUUUGGAGAUAAAACUUGCCUCCUUUCAGAGGGAGCCCUGGGUUAGGACUGCUUUAGUCUAACACACACAGUGGGUCAUGCUGAUCAUCCACUUCCCUUCUUUGACAUGAUGUAAUUAUCUGUCAUAUCUGUAGAAGGCAUGUUAGUUUAUUUACUCAGCACUGCCAUGUCCAUUAUCUCAUUUAAUCCCUCAAGCAACACCGUGGAGAUGGGAGGAGAUGAUGCACCCAGGAGGACCAGAGGCUCAUGCAGGGAAGUGCCUUGUCUGAGAGCACACAGCUAGUAAGUGGCUGAACCAGAAUCACUGGCUACAUAUGUAUCGUAUCUCAGAUGAAAUUUCUUAGUGAUACCAAGGGGUGCUUGAUACAUGGAAGAGAAACAUCUAUACAGUCCUGGAGUUGUAUUUCGUGAUCACAAACUGUAUUACUGGCACCAUGUCAUGUUGUUUUCAUGACUUUAUUUGCCUCAUUGUCCUGAUGUGGAAUAAACUGCCGUUUUGAC